CGGGGGGGGCAAGCGUUGUUCGGAAUUACUGGGCGUAAAGGGUUCGUAGGUGGCUAGCUAAGUCAGACGUGAAAUCCCUCAGCUUAACUGGGGAACUGCGUCUGAUACUGGCAAGCUUGAGUGCAGGAGAGGAACGCGGAAUUCCAGGUGUAGCGGUGAAAUGCGUAGAUAUCUGGAGGAACACCGGUGGCGAAGGCGGCGUUCUGGACUGCAACUGACACUGAGGAACGAAAGCCAGGGGAGCAAACGGGAUUAGAUACCCCGGUAGUCCUGGCCCUAAACGAUGAAUGCUUGGUGUGGCGGGUAUCGAUCCCUGCCGUGCCGCAGUUAACGCGUUAAGCAUUCCGCCUGGGGAGUACGGUCGCAAGGCUG
rnacentral:rRNA from 1 species